rnacentral:rRNA from 1 species
AAACUUUCAACAAUGGAUCUCUUGGUUCUCGCAUCGAUGAAGAACGCAGCGAAAUGCGAUACGUAAUGUGAAUUGCAGAAUUCCGUGAAUCAUCGAAU